UGCUGGGGGAUUAGUGGCGAACGGGUGAGUAACACGUGAGUAACCUGCCCUUGACUCUGGGAUAAGCCUGGGAAACUGGGUCUAAUACCGGAUAUGACUGUCUGACGCAUGUCAGGUGGUGGAAAGCUUUUGUGGUUUUGGAUGGACUCGCGGCCUAUCAGCUUGUUGGUGGGGUAAUGGCCUACCAAGGCGACGACGGGUAGCCGGCCUGAGAGGGUGACCGGCCACACUGGGACUGAGACACGGCCCAGACUCCUACGGGAGGCAGCAGUGGGGAAUAUUGCACAAUGGGCGCAAGCCUGAUGCAGCGACGCCGCGUGAGGGAUGACGGCCUUCGGGUUGUAAACCUCUUUCAGUAGGGAAGAAGCGAAAGUGACGGUACCUGCAGAAGAAGCGCCGGCUAACUACGUGCCAGCAGCCGCGGUAAUACGUAGGGCGCAAGCGUUAUCCGGAAUUAUUGGGCGUAAAGAGCUCGUAGGCGGUUUGUCGCGUCUGCUGUGAAAGACCGGGGCUCAACUCCGGUUCUGCAGUGGGUACGGGCAGACUAGAGUGAUGUAGGGGAGACUGGAAUUCCUGGUGUAGCGGUGAAAUGCGCAGAUAUCAGGAGGAACACCGAUGGCGAAGGCAGGUCUCUGGGCAUUAACUGACGCUGAGGAGCGAAAGCAUGGGGAGCGAACAGGAUUAGAUACCCUGGUAGUCCAUGCCGUAAACGUUGGGCACUAGGUGUGGGGGACAUUCCACGUUUUCCGCGCCGUAGCUAACGCAUUAAGUGCCCCGCCUGGGGAGUACGGCCGCAAGGCUAAAACUCAAAGGAAUUGACGGGGGCCCGCACAAGCGGCGGAGCAUGCGGAUUAAUUCGAUGCAACGCGAAGAACCUUACCAAGGCUUGACAUGAACCGGUAAUACCUGGAAACAGGUGCCCCGCUUGCGGUCGGUUUACAGGUGGUGCAUGGUUGUCGUCAGCUCGUGUCGUGAGAUGUUGGGUUAAGUCCCGCAACGAGCGCAACCCUCGUUCUAUGUUGCCAGCGCGUUAUGGCGGGGACUCAUAGGAGACUGCCGGGGUCAACUCGGAGGAAGGUGGGGACGACGUCAAAUCAUCAUGCCCCUUAUGUCUUGGGCUUCACGCAUGCUACAAUGGCCGGUACAAAGGGUUGCGAUACUGUGAGGUGGAGCUAAUCCCAAAAAGCCGGUCUCAGUUCGGAUUGGGGUCUGCAACUCGACCCCAUGAAGUCGGAGUCGCUAGUAAUCGCAGAUCAGCAACGCUGCGGUGAAUACGUUCCCGGGCCUUGUACACACCGCCCGUCAAGUCACGAAAGUUGGU
rnacentral:rRNA from 1 species